rnacentral:rRNA from 1 species
AGGACGAACGCUGGCGGCGUGCCUAACACAUGCAAGUCGAGCGAUGAAGUCCUUCGGGAACGGAUUAGCGGCGGACGGGUGAGUAACACGUGGGUAACCUGCCUCAAAGAGGGGGAUAGCCUCCCGAAAGGGAGAUUAAUACCGCAUAACAUUAUUUUCUCGCAUGAGAAGAUAAUCAAAGGAGUAAUCCGCUUUGAGAUGGACCCGCGGCGCAUUAGCUAGUUGGUGAGGUAACGGCUCACCAAGGCGACGAUGCGUAGCCGACCUGAGAGGGUGAUCGGCCACAUUGGAACUGAGACACGGUCCAGACUCCUACGGGAGGCAGCAGUGGGGAAUAUUGCGCAAUGGGGGAAACCCUGACGCAGCCAACGCCGCGUGAGUGAUGAAGGUCUUCGGAUUGUAAAGCUCUGUCUUUGGGGACGAUAAUGACGGUACCCAAGGAGGAAGCCACGGCUAACUACGUGCCAGCAGCUGC